rnacentral:rRNA from 1 species
AUUGAACGCUGGCGGCAGGCCUAACACAUGCAAGUCGAACGAGUGGCGGACGGGUGAGUAAUGUCUGGGAAACUUCCCGAUGGAGGGGGAUAACUACUGGAAACGGUAGCUAAUACCGCCUACCAUCUGAUGUGCCCAGAUGGGUUUGGCUAGUAGGUGGGGUAACGGCUCACCUAGGCUACGAUCCCUAGCUGGGCUGCAAGGAUUACCAGCCACACUGGAACUAAGACACGCUCCAGUCGCCUACGGGAGGCAGCAGUUGUGAAUAUUGCACAAUGGGCGCAAGCCGGAUGAAGCCAGGCCGCGUGUAUGAAGAAGGGCUUCUGUUUGUAAAGUACUUGCAGCGAGGAGGCGUUAAUCGCAGAAGAAGCACAGGCUCACUCCGUGCCAGCAGCCGCGGUAAUAC